UAGAUACUUUAUUGAUCCCCAAGGGGAAAUUUAAGGAACAGUAAAGCAUAGAUGGACAUUGCAUUUCCGGCACAUAGCUUUUGGUGUACCAUUACACCCUGGUACCCUGCAUCGCCCCUUUUCUCCGGUCAUAAUG